rnacentral:rRNA from 1 species
CCUGUCUCAGUUCGGAUUGGAGUCUGCAACCCGACUCCAUGAAGCUGGAUUCGCUAGUAAUCGCGCAUCAGCCACGGCGCGGUGAAUACGUUCCCGGGCCUUGUACACACCGCCCGUCAAGCCAUGGAAGCCGGGGGUGCCUGAAGUGCGCUGCCGCAAGGAGCGCCCUAGGGUAAAACCGGUGACUGGGGCUAAGUCGUAACAAGGUAAC